rnacentral:rRNA from 1 species
UACGUAGGGGGCUAGCGUUGUCCGGAAUCAUUGGGCGUAAAGCGCGUGUAGGCGGUUCGGUAAGUCCGCUGUGAAAGUCGGGGGCUCAACCCUCGGAUGCCGGUGGAUACUGUCGAGCUUGAGUACGGAAGAGGCGAGUGGAAUUCCUGGUGUAGCGGUGAAAUGCGCAGAUAUCAGGAAGAACACCCGUGGCGAAGGCGGCUCUCUGGGACGGUACUGACGCUGAGGUGCGAAAGCGUGGGGAGCAAACAGG